GAGACUGACCGGUGUUAAACCGGAGGAAGGUGGGGAUGACGUCAAGUCCUCAUGGCCUUUAUGCUUAGGGCUACACACGUGCUACAAUGGGUGGUACAAAGAGAAGCCAACUCGCGAGAGCGCGCCAAUCUCAAAAAGCCAUCCUCAGUUCGGAUUGGAGUCUGCAACUCGACUCCAUGGAGUUGGAAUCGCUAGUAAUCGCGGAUCAGCAUGCCGCGGUGAAUACCGGUUCCCGGGCCUU
rnacentral:rRNA from 1 species